AGUGAACGCUGGCGGUAGGCCUAACACAUGCAAGUCGAACGGCAGCACAGUAAGAGCUUGCUCUUACGGGUGGCGAGUGGCGGACGGAUGAGGAAUACAUCGGAAUCUACUUUUUCGUGGGGGAUAACGUAGGGAAACUUACGCUAAUACCGCAUACGACCUACGGGUGAAAGCAGGGGAUCUUCGGACCUUGCGCGAUUGAAUGAGCCGAUGUCGGAUUAGCUAGUUGGCGGGGUAAAGGCCCACCAAGGCGACGAUCCGUAGCUGGUCUGAGAGGAUGAUCGGCCACACUGGAACUGAGACACGGUCCAGACUCCUACGGGAGGCAGCAGUGGGGAAUAUUGGACAAUGGGCGCAAGCCUGAUCCAGCCAUACCGCGUGGGUGAAGAAGGCCUUCGGGUUGUAAAGCCCUUUUGUUGGGAAAGAAAGGCAGCAGGUUAAUACCCCGCUGUCCUGACGGUACCCAAAGAAUAAGCACCGGCUAACUUCGUG
rnacentral:rRNA from 1 species